GAUGAACGCUGGCGGCGUGCCUAAUACAUGCAAGUCGAGCGAACAGACGAGGAGCUUGCUCCUUUGACGUUAGCGGCGGACGGGUGAGUAACACGUGGAUAACCUACCUAUAAGACUGGGAUAACUUCGGGAAACCGGAGCUAAUACCGGAUAACAUGUUGAACCGCAUGGUUCAACAGUGAAAGACGGUCUUGCUGUCACUUAUAGAUGGAUCCGCGCCGCAUUAGCUAGUUGGUAAGGUAACGGCUUACCAAGGCAACGAUGCGUAGCCGACCUGAGAGGGUGAUCGGCCACACUGGAACUGAGACACGGUCCAGACUCCUACGGGAGGCAGCAGUAGGGAAACUUCCGCAAUGGGCGAAAGCCUGACGGAGCAACGCCGCGUGAGUGAAGAGGGUCUUCGGAUCGUAAAACUCUGUUAUUAGGGAAGAACAAAUGUGUAAGUAACUAUGCACGUCUUGACGGUACCUAAUCAGAAAGCCACGGCUAACUACGUG
rnacentral:rRNA from 1 species